UUGAUGCUAGCAGGUAUAGUAGUAUGCAGGUAUGCUAGUAUGACGUUUUGAGUACUGCAGUACUGCCACAGAUGUAUAAAAAAGUACAAAAUCAAAUUUUUCUAACUUUCCUUCAGUUACCACUGGGAUUUGACCUGGUGACCUUUCUGCUGUUAGGCAGGAGUACUAACCGCUGCUCCACUGUUUGUCCCAAAAACCCUGUUAUAAAUUUAUAAACCUUUCAAAAAAAGUAUUGUACAAGUCUAUACUUGAUACUUUGAGACAACAAAAUCAGAUUUAUUGGCAGAUUUAUCAGCCGUUUUUAUUUUGUUUUUACACUGCUGUAAAGUUUUUACAACAAUGUCACAUCUAUUUUACUUCUUUAACUGCUUAUUUGGAUUUUACACUCCAAACUGAUACAGUGAGUCGAAUUCAUCCCAACACGUGUUGUCCGUGACCCAUCGACCACAAAGAGCUGAAGUAAAAUGUGGCCGAUCGUCAAACUGUACUUUGGUGAAAACGCCGUUGUGUCGGUGACAAAAGGUCAACGUACAGUUUCGGUCCGUUCACAAAGGCGGCAUUAUCAGGCCAGCUGUGAGGUUUUGCGUGCUUCAGCAGAGACGCGUCGAGCCGUGGGCCGAGCUGCACAGCUGACGCGGCUCUUUGCCUUUUCACUCUGCUGUUUCUGGAAGAGGCCCCAGUCACGGAGCCAUUCUCCAACGGGCGCCAUAAAUGACCGGGGUGAACGCAACAUUAGGCACUGAUUCCCCCCCAAAAAAACAGCACAGACUCUGGAGCCGAGCCAAAAUGCCAGGAACGAAAGGUAAUAAGUCGGACAAGAAGUCAACUACCAAGCAACCUCAGAGUCCUAAAGAACAGCCGAAGAAAGCUGAUCAGAAAGGAGAUGAUAACAAGAAGCAAGGAGGACAGCCGAAGGGAGAGAAGCAGUAACUUCCAGGCGUUUGUGAAGAUGGCUCUGGAGACGCUGCUGGGGUCCUGUCGUCGAAAACAUGGGGGUCCUCAGGGCAGACAGUGCUGAGCACACGCCCCCCCGACCCCCCCCCACCUCAUCCAUCAACAUAUGUGGCUCAACCUCUGUCACCCCUAAUCCUCCGCAGCCCCGGCCACUCUGGUUUAUCGGAGGGUUAAUCAACCCGUUCAUUCUUCCCUUUAAUUGUUCUGAUUAGAAUAAAGGAUGGUUUCUUACAGC